GGUGUAUGAAGAAGCAUAGUUCGGGCCAUACACAUGACCCGAGUUCACAUGAACGAACCAAGUCCACACAACUCACCCAAACCAAGUUCAACAAGCGGUAUCCGCCAAAAGCUCCUCACAAACUCGUUCUUGUGCCACACUUGGGUUCGUACCACAUGAGCAAGAACACUUAGGUUCAUCACAGAGAAAUUGGAAUAUUAAUCUUGUUCGCUUGUGGAAUGGAAAAGAGCGAUUGAAAGGUGGAAGAACCUACCUGAAGAGUCUGACGCGGUGGUUCAGGUGGGGCGUCUGUUGUUCUUAGAUCGUCGUGCUCCGUUGUCGAUGAUUCAUACGCGUUUAAUCACAUUGAUGUUAUCGAUCCUUUGAUUCGCACAUUCGAUUAUGAAGAUUCACACUUCAUACGCCGUGUUGCCUACUGAGAUGGCGACGACACCUUCGGAUCCGCACCUUGAAUAAUUGAAUCUCCUUUUUACUCUUCCAGUGGAUCAAAUGUGACGACGGUGAAGGUCAUCAAUCCCCUUUUCCGAUUUUCUGCUACCGGUUACUCGAGGAUGGUUGUUCAAUUCCAGAUCGAACCAUGGAGAUUGAUGAAGAUGCACUUUAUUUCACGCCUUCUUGAUUGAAGCUGAAGACGAAGAUUCGUUCGGACUUGUGCGUUGAGAUGCAUCGUCGACCCUUCACCGAAGGUGAGGUUCUGUGUGCGUUUCUUGAAGAUGGAUUUGAGGAGAGCGGAAUGGAGGGUUGUGAAGUUACAGGUUUUGGUUGCGAAGAGUGGAGUGGUGUAGAAGUGGUGAGGGAUGGCAGUUGUCAUUGUGAAGGUUGUGGAGUUGAAGAGUGGAGUUGUGUUAGGGAUUGAAGAGUUCUUUUUCUGAAUUUUGCAGGUUGUGUUAGAGAAGAAGAAUUGGUUGAAUGGUGAUGGAGGUUACGGUUGGAGAUGUUGAAGUGUUGAAGAUGGAGAAGUAUGGUUGAAGGUUGAUGAAGGGUUCUGUUAACUGUGAUGGAGAGUGAAUGGUGAGGAAGAUGGCUCGUGGUUGAGAAAGUGAGAGAGGUUGAAGAAUUUGUGAAUGGAGGACAACGAAGGGUGAAUGAAGUUAGAAGUUUGAGACGAUGAAGUUGUGAAUUGUUGAAUGAUGGUGAAGAUGAUGGAGAGCUUGAAUUGAAGAUGGAGGAUGGUUCUUAUAGGAGAGUAAGGUUUUGUUAGAAGGUUGCUGAAGCGGCUUAGUUUGAAGUCAGUUGUGUGAAAACAGUUAGGGUGGUUAGGAUUGAAGGAUUCAGUUAUUCUAUUAUAUGAGUUUUGGUUAUGAUGAAUCAAUUAGGAGUUGGAGGAUGAUGUCAGGUGAAGAUGAGGCCUUGAUUUCAUCAUAGGUUUUUAUGGAAGUUGGGAAGCGGAAAAACCGAAUUCUGUUAGAGGCCUUUUUUAAGGUUAAAAGGCUCCUUCUCCAUUUCUGUUGAAGGUUGUCGGUUCAAUGAAGAGCCAUCCCUUUUCGUUUUUUGCAGGAUGUAUUAGAAGGAGUCUUGUUGACCGUUAGAAGUUUGUUGGAGAUUUCAAUUCCGUCGGCCGUUGAUGACAAUUGGCGACAGUUGGAAUCAGUUAGGCGGUUAGGACGGUUGAAGAGGUUGGUUAGAAUUCUGUUUUGGAUUCUGAACCGAAUUCUAUUAGGAGGUUAUGGUUCUGUUUUGUUAUAUCGAGGAAUCAGGUUCAGGUACAUGUUGUGUGACAUUGAGAGAACAUCCGUAGCGUGAUAUUCAUCUCCCACACUUUAUUAAGUUUCCGUAUAGACUCAUCAUCACAAAGAAACACGGAUAACUCAACACUUUGAAACCCCACCAACAUCGCCUAUAGCAGUAUCUCUAGUUUUAUAUUCUGAGUCUUUCAAAACAUUAAAUGCCGGUUUUAUUGCAAUUGGAAGCAACUCUGCAAUAUUCAAGAUUUCAGGAUCAUCUGGAAAAUCUUCUUGGGAGACGGAGGGAUCUUAAGAAACCUUGAAUGCUUCGGUUUCUUCUUAAACGGUUUUAGAGGUAACAACAGGGGAAUCUGGCGGUAACUUAAUACACGGUGGAUUGGAAUGUUUUAGAUUGGCUUGUGAUGUUCGCUGUUGGAUUUUUUCCGCAUUAUAUGUCAGUUAUACGCAUAGCAUGGUUUGCAAUGUCGGACAAUUGACCAGAGCAUUCAAUAAUGGUUUGUACUUGAAGAAGCAAUCAUCACAGGUCCAAAGUGGAAGAAAGGGGGCUUGUAUGAGAGUAAAAUAGGGAUUCAUGGGUAUAGUUGGAAUUAGGUUUAUUAUUGUAAUGAAAGAAUAGAAAUUGAAUGUGAUUGUUAUGAAUUUGAAAUGUUUUGUAAUUUUGAAUGGUAAAGGUAUGGAAAAGAUGAAAUGGUUGUAAUGGUUUAUUGGAAAUGAACAUGAAAUUGUGAAAUUUUUUGUUUA